rfam:Triticum urartu cultivar G1812 contig1103028, whole genome shotgun sequence.
AGUGUACUCCCUCCGUCCGAAAAUACUUGUCCGGAGAAUGGAUGUAUCUAGAUGUAUUUUAGUUCUAGAUACAUCCAUUUGUAUCCAUUUCUGCGACAAGUAUUUCCGGAUGGAGGGAGUACAAA